UACCAGCACCCCGAGUGGUCGGGACGUUUAUUGGGCCUAAAGCAUCCGUAGCCGGUUCUACAAGUCUUCCGUUAAAUCCAACUGCUUAACAGGUGGGCUGCGGAAGAUACUAUAGAGCUAGGAGGCGGGAGAGGCAAGCGGUACUCGAUGGGUAGGGGUAAAAUCCGUUGAUCCAUUGAAGACCACCAGUGGCGAAGGCGGCUUGCCAGAACGCGCUCGACGGUGAGGGAUAAAAGCUGGGGGAGCAAACCGG
rnacentral:rRNA from 1 species